CCGAAGCCGAAUACGUGGAUAGGAAGUGUAACGAAGCAGGUGGAUACGAAUACGUGGAUAGGAAGUGUAACGAAGCAGGUGGAUACGAAUACGUGGAUAGGAAGUGUAACGAAGCAGGUGGAUACGAAUACGUGGAUAGCAAGUGUAACGAAGCAGGUGGAUACGAAAGCGUGAUACUAAGUGU